UCUAAAGCUAGGGUUCUUUUCCUCAGCCGCCACCACUUACUAAAGCUAUGUUUAUCUAUUAAGCAAUUUUUUCUGGAACAUACUUUCUUUAUUUUUUUUCAUAAUUUAGUAUGGUUGUGGGUCGACGAGGGAUUAACAUAAAAACAAAGAGGUGAAACGCAAUGAAUCUAUAGAAGUCUUUGAGGAGAAAAGAAUGCCAAAACAUUAAUUUGAUGUCAGCUAAAUUGCAGAAGAAACCACUUCAUCUUUUUUUUUGAUGAAUCCCUCGGCAUUCACAUAACCAUGCUAAAUUUGAGACUAGGCUUUUCUGAUCCUCAUAAAAAUAAAGGAAACACGGUUUCAGUUAUCUUUGCAGGUUUUGCUGUUACAACUGGAAAGGGAAGAGAGCAAAGAAACACCUCAGACAUAUGGAACACACUGCACUUCAUAUAGAGUUUUGCAAUUGAUGUACUUUAGGUGUAACUUGAAUUAUGAACAAGAUGUAAACAUUUGGGAACUUUUUUGGAUUCCCUAGAUUAGGGAAACGUAGGUCCAGAAUUUUGCUAUAUGUAACACUUAUUUUAUGCGAUUGAUGAAUGAUUUCUAACA